rnacentral:rRNA from 1 species
CACGUAGGGGGCAAGCGUUGUCCGGAAUUAUUGGGCGUAAAGAGCUCGUAGGCGGCUUGUCACGUCGGGUGUGAAAGCCCGGGGCUUAACCCCGGGUCUGCAUUCGAUACGGGCAGGCUAGAGUGUGGUAGGGGAGAUCGGAAUUCCUGGUGUAGCGGUGAAAUGCGCAGAUAUCAGGAGGAACACCGGUGGCGAAGGCGGAUCUCUGGGCCAUUACUGACGCUGAGGAGCGAAAGCGUGGGGAGCGAACAGG